rnacentral:rRNA from 1 species
ACGCUCGACACCACGGGAGCAGCAGUGGGGAAUAUUGCACAAUGGGGGAAACCCUGAUGCAGCGACGCCGCGUGAGCGAAGAAGUAUUUCGGUAUGUAAAGCUCUAUCAGCAGGGAAGAAACUGACGGUACCUGACUAAGAAGCACCGGCUAAAUACGUGCCAGCAGCCGCGGUAAUCUGAGCGGGCUGGCAAGGC